GCCUAUCACAGUAAUAGAUGAAUCCUCAACUAAGCCACAAGGGAUCCUAAGACUGCUCCCGUCCUUCGACAUCGCGGGAUUGAAUGCAGUCACAGAAUAAGGACAAUCCUCAUUUUCCUUCUCAUCUUGAGCUUUGCUUUUCUCAAUGAACGACACUAAAUCUUUCCAUGAUAUGGCAGCCUCCUUAACUCCUUGAGCAGUUCCAUUCAAACCAUCUGAUCUAGACAACAACAAUCUCAU
rnacentral:misc_RNA from 1 species